AAGGUCAGAGUCGUAAAUCACUCGAAAGUCGAUGCCCAAAUUGCAACUCUUUAAUUAUAAUUUAUCCAUCGAAGAUCCAACUUUGCCAUCCAGAAAACCCCCAAUUUCCAUGCGACGACGAAAUCACCCAAAAUUUCAAGGAGAAAUCUAGAGAGAGAAACAAAGCCAGUGAAUUCUAGACAGAUAGGGAGAGGGAGAGAGGGAGAGUCACAAGAACACCAACACGAACGGAGAGGGACGGAGAGAGUGUUUUCUUUUAUAUUUUUUUUGGUAAUGGCGGAGGGUAAAAAGGAGAAGAAAUCAAGCAGCAGCAGCAGCAGCAGUAAUGAAGAGAGCGUGAAGCUAUUUGUGGGUCAAGUACCAAAGAACAUGACAGAAGCUGAGCUUCUGGCAAUGUUCAAAGACUUCGCUUUGGUAGACGAAGUCAACAUCAUUAAAGACAAGACAACUCGCGCUUCCAGAGGUUGUUGUUUUCUAAUAUGUCCUUCCAGACAAGAAGCAGACAAGGCAGUUAAUGCUUGUCAUAAUAAGAAAACAUUGCCCGGGGCAUCUAGUCCGUUACAAGUGAAGUAUGCAGAUGGCGAGUUGGAAAGGCUAGAACACAAACUCUUUGUUGGUAUGCUUCCAAAAAAUGUUUCUGAAGCUGAAGUAUCUGAUUUAUUCUCUAAAUAUGGAACUAUAAAGGACUUGCAAAUACUAAGAGGUUCUCAACAAACAAGCAAAAGCUGUGCUUUUUUGAAGUACGAGACAAAAGAACAAGCCCUUGCUGCCCUGGAGGACAUCAAUGGAAAGCAUAAAAUGGAGGGUUCAAGUGUUCCUUUGGUUGUCAAAUGGGCAGAUACAGAAAAGGAAAGGCAGGCUCGGAGGGCUCAGAAAGCACAAUCGCAAGCUAUGCCUAACACUGAUUCACAACAUCCGUCUUUAUUUGGUGCCUUGCCAAUGGGAUAUGCUCCCCCUUAUAAUGGAUAUGGAUACCAGGCUCCUGGAGUUUAUGGACUUAUGCCAUACCGUCUGCCACCCAUGCAGAAUCAGCCUGCAUUUCAUAGCAUGGUUCCUCCAGUAAAUCAAGGAAAUGUAUUGCGUGGUGGAAUCAGACCUGACCUUUCACCCAAUAUUUCCCCUAGAAAUUAUGCUCCUGCUACUUAUAUGGGCUCUGCUUAUCCUACGGUGACAGGUCUUCAGUAUCCAGUGGCAUAUCCUGGAGCAAUGAUGACUCACCGGCCUUUGAGUAGUUCACCUGGUGCAUUGUCACCCACAGUUGUGAGCAGUAAUUCUGCAACACCUUCAGGUGUCGGUGGAAGUUCCGGGGUUCAAGUGGAAGGUCCACCUGGUGCUAAUUUGUUUAUAUAUCACAUACCUCAGGAAUUCGGUGAUCAAGAACUUGCCAAUGCUUUUGAAGCAUUUGGUAAGGUCUUAAGUGCCAAGGUUUUUGUUGAUAAAGUAACUGGUGUUAGCAAAUGCUUUGGAUUUGUUAGUUAUGACUCACCAGCAGCAGCUCAAAAUGCUAUUACCAUGAUGAAUGGAUUCCAAUUAGGGGGUAAGAAAUUGAAGGUUCAGCUUAAGAGAGACAAUAAACAGAGCAAACCAUAUUGAUCGGCAGUUCCUCAUUCCAAAACAUUGAAGAAACUGGUGGUUCAUUUCUCAGGAUAAAGGUAUGUUUGAUCUUGAAGCUUUGCCUGCAUUCGAGUUUAAACUUAGGUUCUGAUAAUCUCUUUCAGCUCUUUAUUUUGUUUCUACUGCAAUUCAUUUCACAUGAUUGGCAUACCUUUGAUUUUGAAGCAUUUGCAUGCAUUUAAGUUUAAAUUUUUGUCCUUGAUCAACUUUAUGAAGAUUGCUCUUCUUGAAGGCUAAACGAGUUUCAGGAAGGUCGAAAAACUUAUAUAUCUCAUGUUUAAAUCGUUGUUUCCUUGAGACGACUGUUACACAGAUGUGUCAUGAGGAAAAGAAUGAAGGGAAACAUUAUUGCUCCAACAAAGUUCUGGAUGGAAAAGUGCUGUUGGUGCUUGAUCUGCACACUGACUUUCUGGUAUGACUUGCUGUUACAAGUUCAUGUGCAUGGGUGAAGGCUCUCCAUUCCAAAAGUUUUGUUUCCACAUAGAGUUAAUGUGACACGUCAAACAGAAUUGCAUUCAUUGUGGAUGUGAUGUCAGAUUAUUAUUACCAACUAUUUGAAGGUUUAAGGUAGUUGUAAUGGAUCAUACAUAUUUCUGAAUGAAUCACACACUUCAACCCUAUCACUUAUGGAAAAAGAUGACGCUUGAACUAGAGGUGAACUGUUCUCAUAUAACACAAAUGAAGGGCAUUCUCUUCGCUGCAGUCAGCUUAUAUCUAGACUGUACAAAGGAAGAAAACCCUGUGUUGAUGUAUUUUUACGUUUUGGGUGAAUGAUAUGGUGACUGUCCUGCUGUUCUUCUCUCCUUGUUCUCUAUGCUUCGAGUACUAAUUCCACGACUAAAAUUUGUAAAAUAGGGAGGAUUGCAGAGCUUAUAGAAGCUUUCAACCUUCCAGAGAUAUGGUACAGAGCUGGGAGUAUGCUUCAUGUGUUACUUGGGCGGCAGCUCUUCUCAGCAUAUAGCCCUCACGCAAGGGAACCGUUGGCAGGGGGAUUUUGACAACUUAAUAGAUUACGAAAUCCGUGUGCAGAUUACGAAAUGAACGGGAUAAUUUAUAUUUUAGGUCAUUUUCCUGGUGAUGCGGGAUAAAUGUUCAUGAUUUCAGCUUUGAAGGAUCAAAAGGAAUUAUUUUUGGAGCUCUUAAUAGAAAUAUACCAGUGUUUUUCUUCAUCUUCCA